rnacentral:rRNA from 1 species
GGGGAAUAUUGCACAAUGGGGGAAACCCUGAUGCAGCGACGCCGCGUGGAGGAAGAAGGUCUUCGGAUUGUAAACUCCUGUUGUUGAGGAAGAUAAUGACGGUACUCAACAAGGAAGUGACGGCUAACUACGUGCCAGCAGCCGCGGUAAAACGUAGGUCACAAGCGUUGUCCGGAAUUACUGGGUGUAAAGGGAGCGCAGGCGGGAAGACAAGUUGGAAGUGAAAUCCAUGGGCUCAACCCAUGAACUGCUUUCAAAACUGUUUUUCUUGAGUAGUGCAGAGGUAGGCGGAAUUCCCGGUGUAGCGGUGGAAUGCGUAGAUAUCGGGAGGAACACCAGUGGCGAAGGCGGCCUACUGGGCACCAACUGACGCUGAGGCUCGAAAGUGUGGGUAGCAAACAGGAUUAGAUACCCUGGUAGUCCACACCGUAAACGAUGAUUACUAGGUGUUGGAGGAUUGACCCCUUCAGUGCCGCAGUUAACACAAUAAGUAAUCCACCUGGGGAGUACGACCGCAAGGUUGAAACUCAAAGGAAUUGACGGGGGCCCGCACAAGCAGUGGAGUAUGUGGUUUAAUUCGACGCAACGCGAAGAACCUUACCAAGUCUUGACAUCCCUUGACAGACAUAGAAAUAUGUAUUCUCUUCGGAGCAAGGAGACAGGUGGUGCAUGGUUGUCGUCAGCUCGUGUCGUGAGAUGUUGGGUUAAGUCCCGCAACGAGCGCAACCCUUAUGGUCAGUUACUACGCAAGAGGACUCUGGCCAGACUGCCGUUGACAAAACGGAGGAAGGUGGGGAUGACGUCAAAUCAUCAUGCCCUUUAUGACUUGGGCUACACACGUACUACAAUGGCGUUAAACAAAGAGAAGCAAGACCGCGAGGUGGAGCAAAACUCAGAAACAACGUCCCAGUUCGGACUGCAGGCUGCAACUCGCCUGCACGAAGUCGGAAUUGCUAGUAAUCGUGGAUCAGCAUGCCACGGUGAAUACGUUCCCG